rnacentral:lncRNA from 1 species
GCGGAAAACUAUAUAUAGCUAUACUUAAAAGGUGUGGAGCACGUCUUUGCUAAGCUGUGCUAUAUGUAUGUUUUAAUUCUUAAAGCCUCACUGUAAUUAUCACCAUAUCAUAGAAAAGGAGAUUGAGGUGCAGGAAGUAACAUGAAGAGGUCACAAAGCUGGAAGAAGACAAGUCCUGGUUGCUUGGUUUCAGAGCUCCUGCUUGUGACCACUGCAUUCUCUACCAUGGGGCUGGACUGCACUGAGGAAUAGAGGUGUUCCCCCAUUGCUGACUUCCUGAUGAAGCUCCUCUGAAUUUCCUUAGUCGAAUGAUGCAGAAAAUGCACCUCUGGGGAAGGAAUGGCUCCAAGAUCAAGAUCAAGUCUGAGUAUUUUCCAUAUGAAGGUUCGGGAAAUCCUGACCUGACCAGUAGGAUCAAAUACAAACUCCUCAGAGUGGCACGUGAGGCCAUUCUGCCCUGUCUCCGUCACCUUUCAGCCUCGUUUCCUGCAUCUCUCCCAAAGACUGCUCCCUUUCACUGGAGUAGAGCUUCUGAACGGUAGGUACCCUUUCCUUUUCACAUAUGUACCUACAGAACCUAUCGGUGAAUGUUUACAGAAUGAAUUAAUGCAGGAAUAAGCGAAUGAAUAUGUGAUGGAAGGCAGGAGGAAAAGGAAUAGGCUCUUUCACAGACCAGUUAGCCAACUCCUAACAUUACUGGAAAUAAUAAAGUUCCUUGCAUGACCCCAGGCUGGGACUUUCCAGCCUCCCCUAGUUCAGCCAUAAUUCUAUUACAGAAUAACAGAAUAAGUUAUUUUGAGGGGGAGAGAGAGAGAAAGAGAGAGAGAGAGAGAGAGAGAGAGAGAGAGAGAGAGAGAGAGAGAGAGAGAGAGAGAGACAGUGUGUGAGCUGAAGCUAACACCCCAGGAGGAAGGUCAGAUGCAGCCUGUAUUCUGAGAGGAGGAUUCAUCUCCCCACAGCAUUUUCAACUGGGGAAUUCUCAAAGGAUCAAAGAGAGACUGUCCACACUGCUACCCAUCCCAUCUGCAGCCUAUGGACUGCUUCCCUCCCACCCUUUUUUAGCUUCCCAAGAAAGGAUGAUUCACGUCAACAGACUUGUACGUGUACUUUUGUUUAGUCCAGAAAGUAUUUGUUUUUCAUGUUUGUGUAUGGGAAUGUGAGUUGAGAUCAGCUGAUGUGGUUGUGGGCAUGAGUAACUUAGCAAGCAAAGCUGCACAGCUUAUUAUGAUCUUCAAGGCCCAUGUCAGUUCCAUGGUGCUAUGCUCAUAUUACUUACUGGGUGAAAGUCAACUGUAGUGGUCCCUACUCUGUUAUCAUUCUCAUACAGAGGAUAUGGAUGUGCUGUGUAGCCAGCCUCAUCCAUUAAAAAGGAAGACUUUUCUUCCUUUCUUUCCUCUUUGCCUCCUUCCUUCUUUUCACCAUUCAAUUAUUGUCUCCAGUGACAAGCUUGUCCAGCCUUUGACCCUGAUCCAACACAAUAAAAUUAUAAAAUAAGUUCUUCUGUGUCUGCAGAAAGCUUACAUAUGGACAAUUCAGUUGUAACAAAGAGGGUGUCAGCCAUGGCUCUUUCCCCAUAAAC